rnacentral:rRNA from 2 species
AAAUUGAAGAGUUUGAUCAUGGCUCAGAUUGAACGCUGGCGGCAGGCCUAACACAUGCAAGUCGAACGGUAGCACAGAGAGCUUGCUCUCGGGUGACGAGUGGCGGACGGGUGAGUAAUGUCUGGGAAACUGCCUGAUGGAGGGGGAUAACUACUGGAAACGGUGGCUAAUACCGCAUAACGUCGCAAGACCAAAGAGGGGGACCUUCGGGCCUCUUGCCAUCAGAUGUGCCCAGAUGGGAUUAGCUAGUUGGUGAGGUAACGGCUCACCAAGGCGACGAUCCCUAGCUGGUCUGAGAGGAUGACCAGCCACACUGGAACUGAGACACGGUCCAGACUCCUACGGGAGGCAGCAGUGGGGAAUAUUGCACAAUGGGCGCAAGCCUGAUGCAGCCAUGCCGCGUGUAUGAAGAAGGCCUUCGGGUUGUAAAGUACUUUCAGCGGGGAGGAAGGUGUUGUGGUUAAUAACCGCAGCAAUUGACGUUACCCGCAGAAGAAGCACCGGCUAACUCCGUGCCAGCAGCCGCGGUAAUACGGAGGGUGCAAGCGUUAAUCGGAAUUACUGGGCGUAAAGCGCACGCAGGCGGUCUGUCAAGUCGGAUGUGAAAUCCCCGGGCUCAACCUGGGAACUGCAUUCGAAACUGGCAGGCUUGAGUCUUGUAGAGGGGGGUAGAAUUCCAGGUGUAGCGGUGAAAUGCGUAGAGAUCUGGAGGAAUACCGGUGGCGAAGGCGGCCCCCUGGACAAAGACUGACGCUCAGGUGCGAAAGCGUGGGGAGCAAACAGGAUUAGAUACCCUGGUAGUCCACGCCGUAAACGAUGUCUACUUGGAGGUUGUGCCCUUGAGGCGUGGCUUCCGGAGCUAACGCGUUAAGUAGACCGCCUGGGGAGUACGGCCGCAAGGUUAAAACUCAAAUGAAUUGACGGGGGCCCGCACAAGCGGUGGAGCAUGUGGUUUAAUUCGAUGCAACGCGAAGAACCUUACCUGGUCUUGACAUCCACAGAAGAAUCCAGAGAUGGAUUUGUGCCUUCGGGAACUGUGAGACAGGUGCUGCAUGGCUGUCGUCAGCUCGUGUUGUGAAAUGUUGGGUUAAGUCCCGCAACGAGCGCAAC